rnacentral:rRNA from 1 species
CAUGUCGGUUGCUUGCAACCGAUGAUGGCGACCGGCGCACGGGUGAGUAACACGUAUCCAACCUGCCCUUCACCACGGAAUAAUCCAGUGAAAAUUGGUCUAAUACCGUAUGAGGUCAUACGAUGGCAUCAGAAUAUGACGAAAGGUUUGGCGGUGAAGGAUGGGGAUGCGUCUGAUUAGCUUGUUGGUGAGGUAACGGCUCACCAAGGCGACGAUCAGUAGGGGUUCUGAGAGGAAGGUCCCCCACAUUGGAACUGAGACACGGUCCAAACUCCUACGGGAGGCAGCAGUGAGGAAUAUUGGUCAAUGGGCGAGAGCCUGAACCAGCCAAGUAGCGUGCAGGAAGACGGCCCUAUGGGUUGUAAACUGCUUUUAUAUGGGGAUAAAGUGAGUUACGUGUAGCUUAUUGCAGGUACCAUAUGAAUAAGGACCGGCUAAUUCCGUGCCAGCAGCCGCGGUAAUACGGAAGGUCCAGGCGUUAUCCGGAUUUAUUAGGUUUAAAGGGAGCGUAGGCCGCCCCUUAAGCGUGUUGUGAAAUGCCGCGGCUCAACCGUGGCACUGCAGCGCGAACUGGGGGGCUUGAGUGCACGCAACGCAGGCGGAAUUCGUGGUGUAGCGGUGAAAUGCUUAGAUAUCACGAAGAACUCCGAUUGCGAAGGCAGCUUGCGGGAGUGCGACUGACGCUGAAGCUCGAAGGUGCGGGUAUCGAACAGGAUUAGAUACCCUGGUAGUCCGCACAGUAACCGAUGGAUGCCCGCUGUGUGUCUUAAUGGUACGCGGCCAAGCGAAAGCGUUAAGCAUCCCACCUG